GACGUAGGGCGCGAGCGUUGUCCGGAUUUAUUGGGCGUAAAGAGCGUGUAGGCGGCCAGGUAGGUCUGCUGUGAAAACUCGAGGCUCAACCUCGAGACGUCGGCGGAAACCAUCUGGCUAGAGUCCGGAAGAGGAGAGUGGAAUUCCUGGUGUAGCGGUGAAAUGCGCAGAUAUCAGGAAGAACACCCGUGGCGAAGGCGGCUCUCUGGUACGUGACUGACGCUGAGACGCGAAAGCGUGGGGAGCAAACAGG
rnacentral:rRNA from 1 species